rnacentral:rRNA from 1 species
UCCUACGUGGAUAACUGUGGUAAUUCUAGAGCUAAUACAUGCACCAAAGCUCCGAUUUUCUGACGAGCGCAUCUAUUAGAUUAAAACCAAUCGGGUUUCGGCCCGUCAAUUGGUGACUCUGAAUAACUAUAGCUGAUCGCAUGGUCUCGAACCGGCGACGUGUCUAUCAAGUGUCUGCCUUAUCAACUGUCGAUGGUAGUUUAUGUGCCUACCAUGGUUGUAACGGGUAACGGAGAAUAAGGGUUCGACUCCGGAGAGGGAGCCUGAGAAACGGCUACCACAUCCAAGGAAGGCAGCAGGCGCGCAAAUUACCCACUCUCGGCAUGAGGAGGUAGUGACGAAAAAUAACGAGACCGUUCUCUAUGAGGCCGGUUAUCGGAAUGGGUACAAUUUAAACCCGUUAACGAGGAUCUAUGAGAGGGCAAGUCUGGUGCCAGCAGCCGCGGUAAUUCCAGCUCUCAAAGUGUAUAUCGUCAUUGCUGCGGUUAAAAAGCUCGUAGUUGGAUCUGCGCCUCAGGACCUGGUCCGCCCACUGGGCGAGAACUGGGCUCCUGGGCUAGUUCUGCUGGUUUUCCCUACGUUGCCUUCAUCGGUCGCGUAGGGUGGCUAGCGAGUUUACUUUGAAAAAAUUAGAGUGCUUCACGCGGGCUUAUGUCUGAAUACUCGUGCAUGGAAUAAUAGAAUAGGAUCUCGGUUCUAUUUUGUUGGUUUUCUGAUCUGAGAUAAUGGUUAAGAGGGACGGACGGGGGCAUUCGUAUCGCUGCGUGAGAGGUGAAAUUCUUGGACCGUAGCGAGACGUCCGACUGCGAAAGCAUUUGCCAAGAAUGUCUUCAUUAAUCAAGA